rnacentral:lncRNA from 1 species
GUCAGAGGUCAUGGGUUCGACUUCCGGCUCUGCCACUCGUCAGCUGUGUGACUGUGGGCAAGUCACUUCACUUCUCUGGGCCUCAGUUACCUCAUCUGUAAAAUGGGGAUUAACUGUGAGCCUCACGUGGGACAACCUGAUUACCCUGUAUCUACCCCAGCGCUUAGAACAGUGCUUUGCACAUAGUAAGCGCUUAACAAAUACCAACAUUAUUAUUAAUACGAUGGAAAGAAUGAAUUGAGUGAAUACAGUGAUGAGAAAGAUGGGGUUUGGAUGGGGCGAUGAGCUCUGUUUUGGACACAUUAAGUCUGAGGUAUCUACAGGACAUCCAAAUAGAGGUGUCCAGAAGGCAGGAGGUAAUGAAGACUGCAGAGGAGAGAGAUCAGGGCUAGAGAGGUAGAUAUGGGAACCAUUUGGAAAUCAUCUGCGUAGAGAUGGUUGUUGAAGCCAAGGGAGUGAAUGAGUUCUCCAAGGGAGUGGGCCUGAUAUCAUCAUUCAAUAGUAUUUAUUGAGCGCUUACUAUGUGCAGAGCACUGUACUAAGCGCUUGGAAUGUACGAUAUGUUUCUUUGGCUUGAUUACAGAAACCGUGCCGCUUCUUCGGGCGUCAGAUCCCAUCCUUGUGGUGGAGCCCUCGCUUUGGCCCCCAUCCUCCGGCCCUGGGGUCUUCCGAAAGCAGCCCCAAGCUGGCCCUUGCCGUUGGGCAGAUCCCUGCAGGUUUCCCGCUGGGGGAGCCCGGCGGCCAGCUGCUAUUUCAUCGGGUGGCCAGCAGAGGGCAGCUUGUUUCUGGGAAUUGUAGCCACAGAAGAUGGGCGAAGCAAGGAACUGGUGGAGGCCAAGACUUUUUCUUUCCUCCUCAACCCCGCCCAGGCAAUAGGUGGCCUUGUCAGCACAUCAGUUAGGGGGGUUCCUUCCCAUGCCAUGGAUAAGCUGAUUAGACCACACAUCUUGGGAGAACUAAGGUUGAAGGUUGCCUGGCCGACAGGAGGAAAGGGCUGUGCCCCCACCACAUCAUUUGGCCUGGAGACCCCUAAACUGCAGUAUAUCCCCCAGUGGCUGAAGCGGGGAUCUGGACUGAGAAACUCAGAACUCCUUGGCAUCAUCAGAAGUUGUCUUCAACCCAAAAGAAAUCAAAGGUUUACAGUUCCUGAGUCGUCCGGGGCUCUUCCUUCCAACCAGUCAGCCAAGAAAAAAGGCCAAGAUGAAAGGCAGAAAAGUUCCACUCCCUAUGCUAAAGGUAAGUAAUUUCUAAGUCUUUAAGCAGAGGUCAGAUCCCCUACUCUCACUGGGCACCCUGCCAACACUAAAAAAAGGGCAUGUCAGCCUCUGAAAUCUACCCCGGAACAAGAGUAAUGUAGUGACUUGAAAUAAAAGCUUUUUUUUUUUCCAUUACUUGAGUUAGGAAAGAUGGAUGGUCUUUUCUUUCUCAGGUAGUCUCAUGCUGUAGCCUUUCUGUACCUGGACUCAGGUUGACCCUGAAUGAGGCUGUCCCAUUUAAAAGGCCCUUAACAAUCUAGCUCAACAAUUAUAAAUAGUAUACCUUUCAGGGAUGAAUUUCUUAACUGCGCAGAUCUUUCUAGAGUCAACCAGUAAUGGGGCCUUUCUCAAGAAGUAAGCCUCGUGGAUGGAAUCUGAUAGUUGAGGAUUUGUGAUAAAAAGGCAAGAUCACUGAAAUCCCCCAACUUUUUCUGAAUAGGCCUCUGAUCUCCAGAGUUCCAAUUUAGUCUUACCUGUUCUGUGUGUUAUGUUAUGAAAAUUUACUUUAGCUUUCAAUUCCCUAUCCUGCUGGGAAAGAUUGUUGGCAAGUAAAAAACGUUGCAGAUGAAAAGGAUUUUCUUUGUCCUGAGAAACUCACAUUAUUUAUAAGGGCAACAACCGAAAACAUUUUCCCCACUGGAGGAACUCAGUGUCACAUUAAUGUAGCAGCAAAGGAAUCCUGGCGUCGAAUUAGGGAAGUGAAGUCAGUAAUAAUUGUGGUAUUGGUUAAGCACUUAAUAUGGGCCAAGCAAUAUUCUCAGUGCCAGGGUAGAGUCAAGAUAAUCAGGUAGGUCACAGUCCUUGUCCCGACUGGGGCUCACAGUCUAAGUAGGAGAAGUAAUGGUAUUUAAUUCCCAUUUCAUAGGGAAGGAAACUGAGGUAUAG